CCUGACCGAGCCGAGCCGGAGCGGCUGCCCCUCAGGCCGGUCCUGGCCGUAGGUGGCGGGCAGCGCCCGGGCCUC
rnacentral:antisense_RNA from 1 species